GAUGAACGCUGGCGGCGUGCCUAAUACAUGCAAGUCGAGCGAACAGAUGAGGAGCUUGCUCCUCUGACGUUAGCGGCGGACGGGUGAGUAACACGUGGAUAACCUACCUAUAAGACUGGGAUAACUUCGGGAAACCGGAGCUAAUACCGGAUAAUAUAUUGAACCGCAUGGUUCAAUAGUGAAAGACGGUUCUGCUGUCACUUAUAGAUGGAUCCGCGCCGCAUUAGCUAGUUGGUAAGGUAACGGCUUACCAAGGCAACGAUGCGUAGCCGACCUGAGAGGGUGAUCGGCCACACUGGAGCUGAGACACGGUCCAGACUCCUACGGGAGGCAGCAGUAGGGAAUCUUCCGCAAUGGGCGAAAGCCUGACGAAGCAACGCCGCGUGAGUGAUGAAGGUCUUCGGAUCGUAAAACUCUGUUAUUAGGGAAGAACAAAUGUGUAAGUAACUAUGCACGUCUUGACGGUACCUAAUCAGAAAGCCACGGCUAACUACGUG
rnacentral:rRNA from 1 species